GGAAAACGCAGUUCCAUGACACAAGCGCUUUCACAUUAAAUGUAUUGUGUAACUUGUACACUUCAGACUCCGCUUGAAGAAUAUAAGAUUUCAAGGCUACGUGCGUUUUAUCUUGCUGUCACAGAUGUCUCUUGCCCUGGCUGACAGGGCUAUCGGAGCAAUCAUUGGAUCAGCUGUUGCCGAUGCUGCAGCACAACCGCUCCAUUGGGUCUAUGACCUGCAGAAGCUGAGCGUGUUGCUCUCUCAAAGUCCUGAGCCUGAAUUCCGCCCUGAGUCUGCAAACCCAUUCUACAGGAGGAACACUGGACAGCAG